GACGAACGCUGGCGGCGUGCUUAACACAUGCAAGUCGAACGGAAAGGCACUGCUAUUGUGGGGUGCUCGAGGGGCGAACGGGUGAGUAACAGGUGAGUAACCUGACCUUGACUUUGGGAUAACAUAAGGAAACGGGGGCUAAGACAGGAUAGGAGAUCAUGCUGCAGGGAGGGGGGUGGAAAGUUACGUCUGUUGGGGAUGGACGCGCGGCUUAGCAGCUCGUUGGUGGGGUAGUGGAUUACCAAGGAUUUGACGGUUAGCCGGCCUGAGAGUGUGACCGGCCCCAUUGUCCUUCGGAUACGGCCCGUACUCCUUCGGGAGGCAUGAGUGGGGACUAUUUCACACUGGGCCGAAUCCUGAUGCAGCAACUCCGCGUGCGGGAGGACGGCCUUCGGGUUGUAAACCGCUUUCGCCUGUGACGAAGCGUUAGGGACGGUAAUGAGGAAAGAAGCACCGGCUAACUACGU
rnacentral:rRNA from 1 species